rnacentral:rRNA from 1 species
CCUACGGGUGGCAGCAGUCGAGAAUCAUUCACAAUGGGGGAAACCCUGAUGGUGCAACGCCGCGUGGGGGAAUGAAGUUCUUCGGAUUUUAAACCCCUUUCAUGUAGAAGCAAAUUCAAAAGAUAGUACCACAACAGGUAGAGGCGGCUAACGCUGUUCCAGCAGCCGCGGUAAUACAGAGUUCUCAAGCGUUUUUCGGAAUCACUGGGCGUAAAGCGUUCGUAGGCGGUUUCGUAAGUCGUGUGUGAAAGGCGUGGGCUUAACCGGCGGACGGCACAUGAUACUGGGAGACUAGAGGAAAGGAGGGGGAAGUGGAAUUCUCGGUGUAGCAGUGAAAUGCGUAGAUAUCGAGAGGAACACUAGUGGCGAAGGCGGGUUCCUGGACAGUAACUGACGCUGAGGCACGAAGGCCAGGGGAGCGAAAGGGAUUAGAUACCCGAGUAGUC